CUUAGCUGUCCCCACUUGGCAGCUGUCUGUCCAGUUGUACCACCCUCUGCCUAAAACUCCUUGUGGCUCCCUGUUUUCUUAGGGUGAAGAACAACCUUUCAUGUGGACCACAGGGCCCUGCACCUGCGCCUGGUCUAGGCCUCUGACCCAUUUCAGAAACUGUGUCAGUAGUCCGCUGUGCCCAGGAAUCCUGCACCGUGCCACCCUAUGGACCCAAGGGCUGGUUUUUCUGGUUUGCUCCCCCAGGGUGAUUUACAUAAUUCUUUAAAGACUCCUCCGGAGCCGGAAGCCGAGUAACCUGUUUUCAGACUUAGAGAGAGGGGAGCCCCACGGUUGUUUCUCCAAAAUCUGGGUAAGUAUCUUUUAAAGUUUCUUUUUCUUCAGACCCCUUAUCGUUAUUUUUUACUGUUUUGUUUUUACCGGGGAUCAAACUCGGGUCCUUGCGCUUUCAAGGCAGGCGGCAGAACCACUGAACUAAAUCCCAGCCCCCUGAUCUUUUUUUUUCUUUUCUUUUCUUUUUUUUGAGACAGGGUCUCACUGUGUAGUUGAGACUGACCUGGAACUCACUCUGUAGCCCAGGCUGGUCUCGAACUCACAGCGAUGCUCCUGCCUCAGCCUCCUGAGUGCUGGUAUUACAGGCGUGCACCACCACGCCUGUCUGAUCAUUAUUUUUUAAAGUGCCUUAAUUUGGAGCUUAUGCAUCCAUUGUCUGUUUCUCGCG
rnacentral:lncRNA from 1 species